rnacentral:rRNA from 1 species
AUUGAACGCUGGCGGCAUGCCUUACACAUGCAAGUCGAACGGCAGCACGGGUGCUUGCACCUGGUGGCGAGUGGCGAACGGGUGAGUAAUACAUCGGAACAUGUCCUGUAGUGGGGGAUAGCCCGGCGAAAGCCGGAUUAAUACCGCAUACGAUCUACGGGUGAAAGCGGGGGACCUUCGGGCCUCGCGCUAUAGGGUUGGCCGAUGGCUGAUUAGCUAGUUGGUGGGGUAAAGGCCUACCAAGGCGACGAUCAGUAGCUGGUCUGAGAGGACGACCAGCCACACUGGGACUGAGACACGGCCCAGACUCCUACGGGAGGCAGCAGUGGGGAAUUUUGGACAAAGGGCGAAAGCCUGAUCCAGCAAUGCCGCGUGUGUGAAGAAGGCCUUCGGGUUGUAAAGCACUUUUGUCCGGAAAGAAAUACUUGGCCCUAAUACGGGCGGGGGAUGACGGUACCGGAAGAAUAAGCACCGGCUAACUACGUG